rnacentral:rRNA from 1 species
UACGAAGGGGGCUAGCGUUGCUCGGAAUCACUGGGCGUAAAGGGUGCGUAGGCGGGUCUUUAAGUCAGGGGCGAAAUCCUGGAGCUCAACUCCAGAACUGCCUUUGAUACUGAGGAUCUUGAGUACGGGAGAGGUGAGUGGAACUGCGAGUGUAGAGGUGAAAUUCGUAGAUAUUCGCAAGAACACCAGUGGCGAAGGCGGCUCACUGGCCCGUAACUGACGCUGAGGCACGAAAGCGUGGGGAGCAAACAGG